UGGGGAAUCUUGGACAAUGGGCGCAAGCCUGAUCCAGCCACGCCGCGUGAGUGAUGAAGGCCUUAGGGUUGUAAAGCUCUUUUGCCGGGGACGAUAAUGACGGUACCCGGAGAAUAAGUCCCGGCUAACUUCGUGCCAGCAGCCGCGGUAAUACGAAGGGGACUAGCGUUGUUCGGAAUCACUGGGCGUAAAGCGCACGUAGGCGGAUUUGUAAGUCAGGGGUGAAAUCCCGGGGCUCAACCUCGGAACUGCCUUUGAUACUGCGGAUCUCGAGUCCGAUAGAGGUGAGUGGAAUUCCUAGUGUAGAGGUGAAAUUCGUAGAUAUUGGGAAGAACACCAGUGGCGAAGGCGGCUAACUGGUCCGGUACUGACGCUGAGGUGCGAAAGCGUGGGGAGCAAACAGGAUUAGAUACCCUAGUAGUCCCUGAGCGGGCUGGCAAGGCGCAU
rnacentral:rRNA from 1 species